CGAAAUAAUAUUAAAUGAAAUACGAAUAUCUUUCGUAGUUAUUUAUUGUUAAAGUCGGCCAUGACGUGCAUGCACUGUUUUAAUAAUAAAUCCAGUCGUGAUCCUUUGUAGUUUUAAGGUUUUCAGGAUCCAGUCAGGAUAUUAGGAAAAUGCUAAACAUUGCAUACUUCGCAAUGUUUUUCUAUAUGAAACUGCACAAACAGUGGUGUAGAGUAUCGUCGGCAUUUUUAAAGAAACUGCGUACUAUCUUUUUUUUAUUAGAUAAGAUUGGUACAGAGUGCUGAAAAUUUCAAGGGGGAAAGCACGUCAAACCGAUUUUACGAUGCGGCUAUAGUAUAUAGUAUAUAGUAUUGGUGUUAUGUAUGCAUCCAUCGUCUAUUUGGAGGUUUCACAGACUAUUGCAACGAGUUCAAGGAAAAAGUACAGGGAAACGAUCUCAAUUUAUGUUCGCUACGGAGACACUGCGGUAUCGCAUGUUAAAAAAAAAAAAAAAA